UGGGAAAUGCAAUCGACGGUAGUCCUGUGCAGUGACCAUGUUCAACGGCCGCGGUAUCCUAACCGUGCGAAGGUAGCGUAAUCACUUGUUCUUUAAAUGAGGACUAGUAUGAAUGGCACCACGAAGGUUAUACUGUCUCCUUUUUCCAAUCAGUGAAACUAAUCUCCCCGUGAAGAAGCGAGGAUAAAAAUAUAAGACGAGAAGACCCUAUGGAGCUUUAAACUACGUAACAUCUUUCUAUAAUAAUUAACAAUUUCUGAAUUUAAACUCCCCAGAAAGUAUAACUAUUAGUUUUUGGUUGGGGUGACCGCGGAGCAUAAUACAACCUCCAUGUUGAAAGAACUUCUCUCUAAGCUAAGAAAUACACUCCUAAGCAUCAAUAUAUUGACAUAAUUGACCCAAUAAAUUUGAACAACGAACCAAGUUACCCUAGGGAUAACAGCGCAAUCCACUUCAAGAGCUCCUAUCGACAAGUGGGUUUACGACCUCGAUGUUGGAUCAGGGUAUCCCAGUGGUGCAGCCGCUACUAAAGGUUCGUUUGUUCAACGAUUAAAACCCUACGUGAUCUGAGUUCAGACCGGGAGGUGUUGUUAUAUUCAAAAAAAGUCUGUCGUGUUUUUAUUACAGCCCGGGGGGGUUCUUAUUUUAGAACAGGGGUGCUGGUGUUAUAAAUAGAACCACCAGCGUUUUUUUAGAUAUCAACGAGGUACA
rnacentral:rRNA from 1 species